GACCUAGUGGUGAAUGGCUCACACCUGUUUCUCUUUACGAAGUCGAGACCAGGAUACAGCAGGAGCUCCCGGUUCAACUCCGGGCUAGGUCA